CCUACGGGAGGCAGCAGUGGGGAAUAUUGGACAAUGGGCGAAAGCCUGAUCCAGCCAUGCCGCGUGUGUGAAGAAGGUCUUCGGAUUGUAAAGCACUUUAAGUUGGGAGGAAGGGUUGUAGAUUAAUACUCUGCAAUUUUGACGUUACCGACAGAAUAAGCACCGGCUAACUCUGUGCCAGCAGCCGCGGUAAUACAGAGGGUGCAAGCGUUAAUCGGAAUUACUGGGCGUAAAGCGCGCGUAGGUGGUUUGUUAAGUUGGAUGUGAAAUCCCCGGGCUCAACCUGGGAACUGCAUCCAAAACUGGCAAGCUAGAGUAUGGUAGAGGGUGGUGGAAUUUCCUGUGUAGCGGUGAAAUGCGUAGAUAUAGGAAGGAACACCAGUGGCGAAGGCGACCACCUGGACUGAUACUGACACUGAGGUGCGGAAGCGUGGGGAGCAAACAGGAUUAGAUACCCUGGUAGUCCACGCCGUAAACGAUGUCAACUAGCCGUUGGGAGCCUUGAGCUCUUAGUGGCGCAGCUAACGCAUUAAGUUGACCGCCUGGGGAGUACGGCCGCAAGGUUAAAACCUUAAAUGAAUUGACGG
rnacentral:rRNA from 1 species